UUGUUAUGAAAUUUAUACACAAUGCUUAUUACCACAAAACACAGAUCAAGUUUGAAUUUUGGUGGGGUCACUUUAACCGUUCUAGAGUUAUGCCCCUUUAUAAAUGGAAAAAUUGAAAAAUGUUCAGUUUCCGUUCUCUAACUUAAGUUUGCCUCAACCAAAUGUUAAGAAACUUAUACACAAUGCUUAUUACCACAAAACACAGAUCAAGUUUGAAUUUUGGUGGUGUCACUUUAACUUUUCUAGAGUUAUGCCCCUAUAUAAAUGGAAAAAUUGCAAAAUUUUUAUUUUCUUCUAAAUAUCAAGUAAUUUUUAUACGACCGCAAAAAAAUUUUGCGGUCGUAUAUUGGUAUGACGUUGGCGUCUUCGUCGUCGUCGUCCAAAGACACAUUGGUUUUCGCACUCUAACUUUAGUUUAAGUGAAUGGAUCUCUAUGAAAUUUUACCAUAAGGUUCAAUACCACAAAAGGAAGGUUGGGAUUGAUUUUGGGGGUUAUGGUACCAACAGUUAAGGAAUUAGGGGCCAAAAAGGGGCCAAAAAUAACCAUUUUUAUACGACCGCAAAAAUUAAAAAAUUUUUGGUCGUAUAUUGGUAUGACGUUGGCGUCGUCGUCCGGCGUCAUUGUCCGAAGACACAUUGGUUUUCGCACUCUAACUUUAGUUUAAGUGAAUGGAUCUCCAUGAAAUUUUACCAUAAGGUUCAAGACCACGAAAGGAAGGUUGGGAUUGAUUUUGGGGGUUAUGGUACCAACAGUUAAGGAAUUAGGGGCCAAAAAGGGGCCAAAAAUAAGCAUUUUGUAACUUCCAGACAAUAACUUGUGUGUAAGUGUAUGGAUCUCUCUGACAUUGUACCACAAGGUUCCAUAUCACAAAGGGAAGGCUGUAAUUGAUUUUGGGGGUAAUUGCCUCAAAAUGUUAGGAAUUAGGGGCCAAAAAAGGGGCAAAAAACAAGCAUUUUUCUAGUUUCAUGACAAUAACUUGUGUGUAAGUGUUUGGAUAUUUCUGAAAUUGUACUACAAGGUUCCAUAUCACAAAGGGAAAGCUGGAAAUGAGUUUGGGGGUAAUUGCCCAAAACGUUUAGGAAUUAGGGGCCAAAAAAGGGCCAAAAAUAAGCAUUUUUCUAGUUUACAGACAAUAACUUGUGUUUAAGUGUAUGGAUCUCUCUGAAAUUGUACUGCAAGGUACCAUACCACAAAGGGAAGACUGGGAUUGAUUUUGGGGGUAAUUGCCUCAAAAUUUUAGGAAUUAGGGGCCAAAAAGGGGCAAAAAACAAGUAUUUUUCUAGUUUCAUGACAAUAACUUGUGUGUAAGUGUAUGGAUCUUUAUGAAGUUGUACUACAAGGUUCCAUAUCACAAAGGGAAAGCUGGAA